rnacentral:lncRNA from 1 species
AGACCUUAUAAUAAGAUAUUCAAAUAAAGUAUCAUAAAAAAUGUUUUAAUCAAUGCAAUUCUCAACGAGAGAAAAUUUAAUAAUAGCAUUAUCGAAUUAAAACUUUGAAACAAAAUUUCACGUAAAUCAAUCUAAUAUCCUUCAUUUUCUGCCUUCCCUCACCUCGCGUCUAAAGUUUAAUUCUCCACCUUAUUCAAUAUCUCUUUUAUUAAAAAUUUUCCCGCUUUUCUAACGCAUCCGCUCUAAUUUCGUGUUACCAUUUGCCUUUGCCAGGAUCGUGAUUCUCGUCUCGUUGUCCAAUUGUUGUGCCCAUGACGCAUACAAACGGAUGAAAUAACGAGCAUAGCCGCGACAACCAACCGAAAUAUUUUGCAAAGGGGAGGGAAUGCGAGUGUGUCCGGUCAUUGCAUGUAUCCGAGAAUACUUUGUUGCAACCGUUCCGUGCAUGCAUGCAUGCAUCCAACGUGCAUCGGUAUGCUGGAAAUCUCGCAGAAUUAAAGCUACG